UUAAGCGACUAAGCGUACACGGUGGAUGCCCUGGCAGUCAGAGGCGAUGAAGGACGUGCUAAUCUGCGAAAAGCGUCGGUAAGGUGAUAUGAACCGUUAUAACCGGCGAUGUCCGAAUGGGGAAACCCAGUGCAAUUCGUUGCACUAUCGUUAACUGAAUACAUAGGUUAACGAGGCGAACCGGGGGAACUGAAACAUCUAAGUACCCCGAGGAAAAGAAAUCAACCGAGAUUCCCCCAGUAGCGGCGAGCGAACGGGGAGCAGCCCAGAGUCUGAAUCAGCUUGUGUGUUAGUGGAACGGUCUGGAAAGUCCGACGGUACAGGGUGAUAGUCCCGUACACCAAAAUGCACAGGUUGUGAACUCGAAGAGUAGGGCGGGACACGUGGUAUCCUGUCUGAAUAUGGGGGGACCAUCCUCCAAGGCUAAAUACUCCUGACUGACCGAUAGUGAACCAGUACCGUGAGGGAAAGGCGAAAAGAACCCCGGCGAGGGGAGUGAAAAAGAACCUGAAACCGUGUACGUACAAGCAGUGGGAGCACCUUCGGGUGUGACUGCGUACCUUUUGUAUAAUGGGUCAGCGACUUAUAUUCUGUAGCAAGGUUAACCGUAUAGGGGAGCCGCAGGGAAACCGAGUCUUAACUGGGCGUUAAGUUGCAGGGUAUAGACCCGAAACCCGGUGAUCUAGCCAUGGGCAGGUUGAAGGUUGGGUAACACUAACUGGAGGACCGAACCGACUAAUGUUGAAAAAUUAGCGGAUGACUUGUGGCUGGGGGUGAAAGGCCAAUCAAACCGGGAGAUAGCUGGUUCUCCCCGAAAGCUAUUUAGGUAGCGCCUCGUGAACUCAUCUUCGGGGGUAGAGCACUGUUUCGGCUAGGGGGUCAUCCCGACUUACCAACCCGAUGCAAACUACGAAUACCGAAGAAUGUUAUCACGGGAGACACACGGCGGGUGCUAACGUCCGUCGUGAAGAGGGAAACAACCCAGACCGCCAGCUAAGGUCCCAAAGUCAUGGUUAAGUGGGAAACGAUGUGGGAAGGCACAGACAGCCAGGAUGUUGGCUUAGAAGCAGCCAUCAUUUAAAGAAAGCGUAAUAGCUCACUGGUCGAGUCGGCCUGCGCGGAAGAUGUAACGGGGCUAAACCAUGCACCGAAGCUGCGGCAGCGACACUAUGUGUUGUUGGGUAGGGGAGCGUUCUGUAAGCCUGCGAAGGUGACCUGUGAGGCAUGCUGGAGGUAUCAGAAGUGCGAAUGCUGACAUAAGUAACGAUAAAGCGGGUGAAAAGCCCGCUCGCCGGAAGACCAAGGGUUCCUGUCCAACGUUAAUCGGGGCAGGGUGAGUCGACCCCUAAGGCGAGGCCGAAAGGCGUAGUCGAUGGGAAACAGGUUAAUAUUCCUGUACUUGGUGUUACUGCGAAGGGGGGACGGAGAAGGCUAUGUUAGCCGGGCGACGGUUGUCCUGGUUUAAGCAUGUAGGCUGNGUCGCAAGACCAAAGUGGGGGACCUUCGGGCCUCAUGCCAUCAGAUGUGCCCAGAUGGGAUUAGCUAGUAGGUGGGGUAACGGCUCACCUAGGCGACGAUCCCUAGCUGGUCUGAGAGGAUGACCAGCCACACUGGAACUGAGACACGGUCCAGACUCCUACGGGAGGCAGCAGUGGGGAAUAUUGCACAAUGGGCGCAAGCCUGAUGCAGCCAUGCCGCGUGUGUGAAGAAGGCCUUCGGGUUGUAAAGCACUUUCAGCGGGGAGGAAGGCGGUAAGGUUAAUAACCUCAGCGAUUGACGUUACCCGCAGAAGAAGCACCGGCUAACUCCGUGCCAGCAGCCGCGGUAAUACGGAGGGUGCAAGCGUUAAUCGGAAUUACUGGGCGUAAAGCGCACGCAGGCGGUCUGUCAAGUCGGAUGUGAAAUCCCCGGGCUCAACCUGGGAACUGCAUUCGAAACUGGCAGGCUAGAGUCUUGUAGAGGGGGGUAGAAUUCCAGGUGUAGCGGUGAAAUGCGUAGAGAUCUGGAGGAAUACCGGUGGCGAAGGCGGCCCCCUGGACAAAGACUGACGCUCAGGUGCGAAAGCGUGGGGAGCAAACAGGAUUAGAUACCCUGGUAGUCCACGCCGUAAACGAUGUCGAUUUGGAGGUUGUGCCCUUGAGGCGUGGCUUCCGGAGCUAACGCGUUAAAUCGACCGCCUGGGGAGUACGGCCGCAAGGUUAAAACUCAAAUGAAUUGACGGGGGCCCGCACAAGCGGUGGAGCAUGUGGUUUAAUUCGAUGCAACGCGAAGAACCUUACCUGGUCUUGACAUCCACAGAACUUUCCAGAGAUGGAUUGGUGCCUUCGGGAACUGUGAGACAGGUGCUGCAUGGCUGUCGUCAGCUCGUGUUGUGAAAUGUUGGGUUAAGUCCCGCAACGAGCGCAACCCUUAUCCUU
rnacentral:rRNA from 1 species